ensembl:lncRNA
GAAGAAGAAGAAGAAGAAGAAGAAGAAGAAGAAGAAGAAGAAGAAGAAGAAGAAGAAGAAGAAGAAGAAGAAUGGGAGCACCCAAGCUGGAAGAAGAGUGGUCCAAGGAGAGAGAACAACCUAAGCAAAGGCAGGAACAAAAGCGGAGAACCCCUCACUCCACAGCCUGAAGUCUUCAUACCAUGAACACAGCUGAAAGCAAGCCAUCUAGAAUCUUCCAGUAAAGAUGUCCACUGUCAGUUGCUCAGAGGUCAAAGCAGUGCUUCCCCUGAGCCACUAAGGCUCCCUACAAGCUCAAAGCCAUCUGAGAGCCUCCAAACCUAAGACCAGACGUGUCAGUCUUGCCAAGGAAGCCUAAGGGGGUUAGUGAGGGCAAACGAUUUUCCAGGAAUGUUCUGUGAGAGCUUCCCACUCUCGCCCAUGCUUGGCUGGAUCACAGGUCAGUCUUGGCAUGAGUCUUAGGCAAUACCAGUCCCCCAGGCUCAAGCCUACUCCCCACCCCUCACAGUUAUGACCCAGGAUAUCCACGGCCUAUGGCCAUCUUUCUGGGAGCAGCCAGGCUGGAGGCGAGGCAUGGGAGACAAGCCUACAGAGGGGCUUUCUGGAGGCUCAUCUGAGAGCAGAGCCUUGUAGCAAUCCCCAGGUGCUCCCCUCUAAAGCUGGCUGAAAGGUCUCUGGAUGAGAAGAAGGCUGACUUGAGGUGGCAUUCCUGUUGGUCACAUGACUUCAAACAUGUCAAUGGCCCUGGAGCUCCAGCUAGCUUCAGUAUCUGGGACAGUUUCAUCUUCCUGUCUGGGGUUCCUCCCCUUCCUAGACCCCACUGCUCUCUGACAUUCACUGAGGAAAAGAAGGCACAGAUCAGUCAGGCCUGGUGGCUUUAACCCAGCCCUAGGGAGGCUGACAAAGUCAGAGCUCUAAAUUCAAGGCCAGCCUGAUCUACAGAGCGAGUUCCUGGACAGGGCUACACAGAGACAGAAAGACCCUGAAAAAAAAUAAUAAAAGUAAAAUAGAAUCCACCUCUCCUCCUGGCAUAUUUCAAGCCUUGUCUCAUGGCCCCUUAGAGAGAUGGGGGCACUGCGGGCCUCGUCCUCCAGGUCUUCACAUCCAUUAGUGCGAAACUGCUACCUGAUCUACCAAGAAGCUACACCUAGAGGACACUAAAGACAAUGCCAACUUGUUUGGCUAACACCACUCGGUCCCAAAGCUGAGCUAGAGAGACGUAUUCUGCUCAACGUGUUCUGUACCCGAAAGAAACGUGUAUGUCCACAAGUAGGUGUGCACACGAAUGUUUCAAUCAUGGAGGUUCAAAUUGGAGCAUCCCAAAUGCCUGUGCGCAGUGGGUGGUUAAACCGACUUCGAUGUGCUCAUGCACUGGAACACUCCACAGUGACUAAAACAACAAAAAGCAUCAGGCAGGGAGACUCUCGAAGGCAUUAUGUUGAAGAAAAUCAACCAGACACAAAGCCACCAUCUGAUACCAUCAGUAUGAAGAUCAACAACCUAUGAUGGUAAAAGUCAGACCCAGGGGUGGUCUUCUCUGGAGAAGAGCACGAGGUGGUCUUGAAGUAUUUAAUGCGUUGGUCUGUGCUUAUAUGGGUAUAGACACGAGAACGGCAACCUAGCCAGAUGUUCUAAGUUCAAUAAACUCAAUUGCAUAUAAAUUAUCAAGAGGAAUGGACCCAGUCACAUAGGCUCUAACCCAAACAGAACAGAGUUCUGGGUUAAGGGGAAGAAGAAAUGAAAGGAGCAGACAGUGGGAGAGCUAAGGCCCAGGGCUGGUGGGCAGCACAGUGCAGGACUGGUUGUGCUACUUACAGCCUAGGAAGGCUGAGUGGCUUCACCAGGGAGGAGCUGCCAGGCGUACAAGCAAGGACCUGGCCAAGCACCUUCAGUGGGUCUCCUGCACAGGGCUGGCAUCUUGUGAGCCGAGGUGGCACCUACCUUCCAAGCACACUGUCUGCCCACCUCCUUUUUUCCUUCCUAACAGCUGUGGGGCAAAGGAAAGACUGAGCCCCAUGUCUGUCUUUUGUUCCAAGUAACAG